rnacentral:tRNA from 1 species
GGGGUAGUGGCUCAGUGGUAGAGCGCUCGCCUGGCACGUGUGAGGCCCUGGGUUCGAUCCUCAACACCA